UGGGAGCCGCAGCCCCGAGCCCGGUCGCCUCACUUGGCGGACGUGAGGCCUGUAGUAAAGAGUGAGGCCUGAGGUAGAUUACCCCUCCCAUCGAAUAUGUUAGUUUCCUGCUUACCGCGUAAACAACCCGCUCAACAAUAUAGUCUGCCUGGCAACUGAUGAUGUUAGCCAAUCAGCUUGCCUUGCUUACUUUAACAUGAUUGGACACUGUACCCGUAUAUAUACCGGUGCCACCCCUGGGCGGAAGUAGAAGCCAGAUAGAAGCCCAGAAGUAAAAGCCCAGAAGGAGCCGCGGAGAGCGGACCGGUAGAGGCUUUGGGGCAGACUGAAGCACAAAAGGAGCCGCGGGGAGCGGACCAGAGGAGGCUUCAGCUGGGAGAACCCAGGGCAGGCUGUACGGAGAAGGAAAAUAAAAAGAAAAGGUUGUCCACUACCAGACUGUGUCGUGUGUCCUUCCUGCCGGCCGGGAGCGGACAUCGACAUUUGGAGGCCCGCCCGGGGACUGAUCACCCCCGAGACGUGGAAGUGGACAACGCUCCAGUACAGAGCUGCGAGACAGGAACCGGGACGAGAACCACUGUGGAUACCGGAGAGACUGACACGGGCAACAAAGCCCUCGACUGAAGAUCAGACCUGCCCUACUGGAGAUCCAUCACAGACCAACCAACAA